ACUCUGGCUGGAAUCCGGUGGAUACAGCAGUGUUACAGGUACAGUACGUGAUAUUAAGGGCAGGCGGUCAUCACUGGGGGAAGACAAGAAGCAGAGGUACUUCCAAGAGGGAGCUGCAGUGAGGACACAGCCGGGUCACUGAGGUCAGAGGAGGCGCUGAAAGGUUUCCCUAAUAGUUCCUGGUGAAUCAAAGCAGGACCAUAAAGGUUGCUGGACUGCAUCAUGGCCUUACCCCUGAGCAGUCAUCCUGUUAAAGGAGGAACCAGUUAGAAGCUGUUUUCAAAGUAGCUGAGCAGAUUUCAUCUCAACAGACAAAGCCGAUGGCAGAAGAUGUUUG